AAAAAAAAAUCCUGUCUUCAUACUCACCCGCAGGCCCCUGCCCUUUUUGCCUCGUAUUAAAAAGUGCCCUUUGUGUGUGUGUGUGUUUUUUUAAAUGAAUAAAUAAAUUCCUGCUGUGAAAAGGGAUGUCAAAAAAUGGCAGUAUAUAAACGCCACGGUUAUCUACCUUACGCAUUUCCUUGUAAUAUGGUGUUGUGUGUGUGUGUGGAUCCUAAAGCCACUUCUCUGUCCGCUGCGCCUCCGCUCUGUCUCUCUCUAGGAAUGGUCGCUACUUUCAAACUAAAAGCACCCCCGCUAAGAACCCAGUUCUAAACUCCAAUGGGGUGCAAUGUAGCUCUUAUUUUGAAGACAGAUUCGUUAUCACGGUUCACUGCCCAACUUUGUGCUUCACAUCGCGUCACAUGUUUACGCCUACCCGAGUAGCGGCUUUUGGAAAAGGAGGAAUAUUACUAAUGCGCCACCUUCUCUAUCAAAAAAGGGCUAUCCACCUUAUUCCUGGGGGCGCUGAUAUAGAAACGAUUAGGGUCCAACUUCUGGUGACACGCCGGAAGUAGCAAUGAGCUAUUGGGUGCUAGCGGUUUUCGUUUCCCGUAGCGGUUUAUUUGUAAGUUUACUGGUCUUCACUGUUGCUACGAUUAUCAGCUCUAAAAAAGUCCUUGCGCAGCUCGGGAACAUGUUGCGCUGUUUGCGGUUGUACUAAUAACCAGGCAAAGUUGAAUCUGUGGCUACAAGAGCAGUGUUUUGAACAUGCACCCCGGACGAAGAGGGAAUGUUGCUGUGAGAGUAGGUACAGUUUCCACCGCCCACCGAGGGAUGAGGAACCCAGAAGAAUGUGGCUGAAGCAACUCAACUUGAAGAAACCACCAAAAACAUUGUACGUGUGUUCAUUUCAUUUUGUUGAUAAAAAGCCCACGGAGGAACACCUGCACCCAGCUUUGUGGUUGGGUUAUGAGAGACCACCGGAGAAGAGACGCCGGAUGCUAAAGAAGACUGACAGCAGUGUCACGAGUAUAACAGAUGAGCCAAAUGAGAUGAAUCUGGGAGAGGAGCUGUGUGCAGCAGCAAAGUCAUCCUGUGAUGCCCAAACACAGUGGUCAGAUGGAGGAUCACACCUAUUUGAAUGGGCCCACCAUUAUGUGUGAACUGCAUACACCACUACCAGAACUGCAACACCCUGUUGCUGACAGCAUUUUAGAGAAUGAUGCAGACUCCCUUCUGUAUACAGACUACUUGCAUCCUGGAGAUGAGGUGAUAGGUGACCGUGGGUUCACGGUGAGGGACUUGCUGGAGGAGCGUAGGCUGAACCUCAUCAUUCCAACAUUCACAUGCAAAAGGUGCCAGCUGACCAACGAGGGGGGUCACUUGUACACGCCGCAUUGCUCAUGCUUGGAUUCAUGUUGGCGUCUCAAGGUGUACAAGAUUCUGUCACAAACGGUGCUAAUCAAUUUGGUGCCCAAAAUUGACAAGAUUCUCAAAAUCUGUGUAGGUUUAGUGAAUUUAAGAGCUGAGUUUAUUUCAAGUGAACAGUGAGAAGACAUUUAAUGUUGCACUUGUACAUACACACACACAGAAAUGCAAUUACAUACAUAGAUGCAUGUUACAUAGCCUACUUAUACACAUAAAUACAUGUCAUUCACUGAAUGUUUUCAAAAAACGACUGAGGUACAACUCUACUUUUUUUUAAUAACUUGAACAGGAAAAUUGCAUCUUUUCAGAGCUGCAUUUGUUGUUAGACUACUUACCUAGACAACACAAACAACAACUAAUGUGACUCCAGCUUGUAAAAAUUUUCUGACUUGUAUGCUCUAAUAUGUACAGUAUGGAUGGGAUGUUUUAUGUUUGUUUGUUUUUAUUUGUAACAUACCAAAAUAUUGUAUUGAAAACACCCUUUUCCUUGUCAUAAAAACAAAAACUAAUCAACUGAAAA